CCAGGAUGAACGCUGCCGAUAGGCCUAACACAUGCAAGUCGAGGGGCAGCAUAGAGUAGCAAUACUUUGAUGGCGACCGGCGCACGGGUGAGUAACACGUAUGCAACCUACCUACAUCAGGGGGAUAACCCGGAGAAAUUCGGACUAAUACCGCAUAAUACAGGGAUGCCGCAUGGCAAUAUUUGUUAAGGAUUUAUCGGAUGUAGAUGGGCAUGCGUUCCAUUAGCUAGUUGGUAAGGUAACGGCUUACCAAGGCAACGAUGGAUAGGGGAACUGAGAGGUUUGUC
rnacentral:rRNA from 1 species